rnacentral:rRNA from 1 species
UACGGAGGAUACAAGCGUUAUCCGGAUUUAUUAGGUUUAAAGGGUGCGUAGGCGGACUUGUAAGUCAGCGGUGAAAUACUACAGCUUAACUGUAGAACUGCCGUUGAUACUGUGAGUCUUGAGUAUAGUUGAGGUAGGCGGAAUGUGUAGUGUAGCGGUGAAAUGCUUAGAUAUUACACAGAACACCGAUUGCGAAGGCAGCUUACUAAGCUAUAACUGACGCUGAGGCACGAAAGCAUGGGGAGCAAACAGGAUUAGA